rnacentral:rRNA from 1 species
UACGUAGGGUGCAAGCGUUGUCCGGAAUUAUUGGGCGUAAAGAGCUCGUAGGCGGUCCGUCACGUCGGCUGUGAAAACCCGGGGCUCAACCCCGGGCCUGCAGUCGAUACGGGCGGACUAGAGUUCGGCAGGGGAGGCUGGAAUUCCUGGUGUAGCGGUGAAAUGCGCAGAUAUCAGGAGGAACACCGGUGGUGUAGACGGCCUUCUGGACAAUCACUGACGCUGAGGUACGAAAGCGUGGGUAGCAAACAGG